GACGAACGCUGGCGGCGUGCCUAAUACAUGCAAGUAGAACGCUGAAGACUUUAGCUUGCUAAAGUUGGAAGAGUUGCGAACGGGUGAGUAACGCGUAGGUAACCUGCCUACUAGCGGGGGAUAACUAUUGGAAACGAUAGCUAAUACCGCAUAACAGCAUUUAACCCAUGUUAGAUGCUUGAAAGGAGCAAUUGCUUCACUAGUAGAUGGACCUGCGUUGUAUUAGCUAGUUGGUGAGGUAACGGCUCACCAAGGCGACGAUACAUAGCCGACCUGAGAGGGUGAUCGGCCACACUGGGACUGAGACACGGCCCAGACUCCUACGGGAGGCAGCAGUAGGGAAUCUUCGGCAAUGGGGGCAACCCUGACCGAGCAACGCCGCGUGAGUGAAGAAGGUUUUCGGAUCGUAAAGCUCUGUUGUAAGAGAAGAACGUGUGUGAGAGUGGAAAGUUCACACAGUGACGGUAACUUACCAGAAAGGGACGGCUAACUACGUGCCAGCCGCCGCGGUAAUAC
rnacentral:rRNA from 1 species